GUUUAAAAUACAGGAAGUGACGUUUGACGACGAUGUAACGCUUUGGUUAAUAAACAACACUUUCGAAGAUGAUUUUGCAACGCUUUUGAACGUUAGCUAAUUCAAAUUAGCAGAGUGUUUUAUUUAUUUGUUUAGCUAACGCAUCAUAAAGAUUUAAAACAAUGUAGAAUGGGAAAACGGGUAUAUUUGUUUUGCUAUGAAGCGUCUGGUGCUAGCUAGCUAGCUUAUCACAACAACUGGAUGGCCUUUGUUUUUCAUGGGUGUUUUUCAGCCAGUGCUGACCAGCGAACUAGUCUUUUCGCCUGUCAACAUCCCUGGAUUUUCUAAAGAUGAAGAGAAAAGUGGCUCGAUUACGGUUAAGUCCAAAUGAAGAAGCGCAACUCAUUCGAGAUGAACACGAAAGGAGAAGGAAGCUGUGAAUAGAACAGGUGCGGGAACAGGAGCGGUAUAUCGCCCUGCAAAUCCGCACGGAGGUGCGGCAGCGACGGGAGCGCGAGCUGCAGAACCUGGCGCAGGAGUUGAAGGAGGAGUGGGAGCGACAACAGAGGGAGAAACAGGAGACCCUGCAAAAGUUAUAUCAGGACAAUCUCCGAGUUUUGGGAGAGGGACAUAGAAGUGCCAAAGAAAAUAAGCCUGACUGUGAGGCAAUUGCACAGAGAAAUUAGGGGAAUAACGUUCGGCAGAUGAGCGCUAUCGAGACGCCAUCAAACAGCUCAAAUCACAGAGACAGAAAGGAGGAGGAGCAAAAUCGUUUUAUUGAGGCUAGGAAGAAGGCCAUACAAGUGGAGAAGGAGAGGGCAGCAACUGUGGCCAACCUCCCAUCCCUUCCACCCAACCCAAUUGAGAAUAUUGAGUCAAGGAAGCUACCUGGAGUGAAGAAAUCGGACAGAGAUGCCUUCUCUGUGACCCACUAUCACAUGCCAGAGACUGCAGUGGACAGGGAAGUUGACAGUACAGCCAAAGGCAUGGGAGGUGGCAGAGGAGGAGGUGCGGCGCCUGCAGGAGCUAGAACGGGAGGAGCAGAGGGAGAGACGGGAGCAGCUGGAGAAAGCUCGUCUUAGGGGCAACCACGCGCUGAGGAGGGAACGGCUCACACAGGACCGAGAGUGCCUCCUGGUGGAGCUGGAACACAUGCAUCAGACAGACCUGUUGAGGCGCAGGCAGAUGAUGGCUCAGAUGCCUGCCCAGAUCUUCUAGCUGCUCUACAAGAGACAGGAGAUGAGGGAGGACUGGCAGAGGGACAUGGAGUUCACCUUUGAGGACAUGUACACUGGAGAGAGUAGUAAGGGUGGGGGGUCCAAAUCAGGAUGAAUUUUUCCGUGCUCUGCUCUGGCCCCGAGUACACAAUUUGUUGGUAUUGCCCUGGUGCAUAGAUAAGUUGUUUUACUUGAUUGAAAUGGAGAGAUUUACCCUAUCCUAGACAGUAGUGUGGACACAUCGUUAUGAGACCUAAUUACCAUUAGUACAUUGGCAUGGAGUUUCUCUAUUCAUCUAAUUAAACCUGUACUGCUCUUUUGCCUGCAGGAGUGAAAGGUGACCUGGUGCUGCAGCUGGUCCCAGAGCCUCUCCCAGCUGUGUCCACUGGCAGCCAGGAUGAACACCUAGACCUGACCCUGGAGGAGGCCACUCCUGACCUUACACCCUCGGCUGGGGCAGAGGAACAACCGGAUGAAGAACCAUCCAGGCCUCUAGGUGGUGCUCCCAGACAGGCCUUGAAGAAGCUACUGACCCGUGUCAGGUCACAGAGAGACCAGUGGAGCUACCGGAGGCUGGUUGACCCCACAUCUGACUGCCAAACUAUUCAGACAGCAGAGCGCGACACGACCUCAGAUGGUACGACCAUUGAGUCAGGCUUUCUGGCCAGCGAAAAGCAGGGCUGACCGUUGACCACUAGUCCCAGACUCCCUGACCCCUCUCAGCCAGCACAAGCUAUAGAGACAAUAGAGGACUCCAUAGUAGCUGGUACCCUGCUCCAUCCUGAUAAACAAGCCAUCAAGAUCCACACAUUUAAACUGAGAGGAAGAGAAGGGAGGAGGAGCUAGAGAGGCAGGAGCAGAUUGCCCUGCUACAGGAUUUAGGGGAGAAGAAGAGCAAGCUGGAGCUACUGCAGGAGGCCCAGGAAGAGAGGGAGCAGCUGCAGACGGCCAUGACCCAAGACACUGCUGCUGCAUCUGGAACACUGAAAACACCAGCCCAGGACGUCAGCCCUGCUGCUCCAUCUCCUGAGUCUACUAUACACUCAGCUGCUGAGGAUGACCACCCCAGGAGAAUCAGAGAGUAUCAGCAGCGUCUCUUAGACCAGAACAGGCUUCAUAAGCAGUCAGUGGAAGAGUCUCACCGGCGUCUGGAAGAGUACCAACACACGCUAAGAAACCGCUAUUCUGGUGUAACUACGGCAACAUGUCUCCCUCCUGGUACCACAGCCCGUCCUCUACCACACUUUAAAGGAGGAAUCAUUCCCCCGGUAGUGCCACUAGAACUCCCCUCUGGCUCCCCUGUCUCCCUGUAGCACUUAGUACCCACUCUAGAGCUCACACCCCUCUGGACCUCUCCACACGGGAGCCCUCCAUCUUGGCUCAAACUCUCUUCCUUCCUGGCGCAACAGUCUGCUCGCAUAUCAACUCCAGGGCCUCACCAGUGCAGCUCGAACCCACCGCUUAAAGCCUAAGAGACCAAAGAGCAGGUGUUUCUGCUUGGCUGGCGGACAAUGUGUUUAGUAGGGUCACAGAGGACCUCCCUGAGAAGCUACCUGGCACCUCUACCUCGUUGGACCCCCAGUCCUACAGACCACAUCCUGUUUCCCUCCACUCUACUCCACGCAUCCCACUCCCAUCAACAGCUGACUCCAUCCCAGCCAUUAGCCCAACCCUUUGAGAAGAGUCAGCUACUCUCCCUGGGGAGGCCCCGGUGAAGCCUGGGCCUGUCCUGUGGGCCUCAGCCAGGUCUGGGGAAGAGGUGGAGAGGCAGAGGCAGGAGAUACGUGAGGCCCAGAGGGAGCAGAGGGAAGAACGGAGAUGGCUGGAGGAAGAGCAGAGGAGGAGACAGAGGGAGGUGUUAGACACUGCUCACUGCUGACGACACACAGGUGAGGAAACAAACAACACCUCAAGGGUUUUACCUGCUGGCAGGGCCACUAUUGGUUUAAAGUGAUUCAAAAAGUAAGAUUAACACUAACAAAUAAAUAGGUAGCCCAAACAUGUAAAUUGUCAAUGAAAUUGUGUGGAUAUACUCUCUUGUCUACUGACUCUAAAGUAGUUUAGACUUUUCUGUGUCUGCCGGUCUCUCUCUGUGUCGGUGUGUGUGUGUGUGGCUCCCCCAGCCUGGUUCAGAGAUCGCUGAUGGUUUGGGGUCAAAGGUCCUGGGGUCAGAGUGUGUCCAUCUGAUUGCAGCUCUGCUCAGGGCCAUCGGAGUCCAAUGGGCAAACAUCAUCAUCUGUAGAAGCUAAUCAGAGCCAAGACAACACACUCAAUGUCCAGAGUUCACACCCAGACAGACCCGCCCCUCACCAACUUCCCCAACCACCACCCCCGAGCAGCCAAACCCCUGGUGGCCUGCGCCAGGCUGGUCGUCAUGGUGAUGACAGAGCAGCAUGAGCUCAGGCCUGAUCACAGGUCCAGAAGUGAGUGUGAGGCUGUCUCGUAUUGAAAGGGCAUUUCCAGAAGAACAGGACCCCUUGGCCCACUCUGAGAGAGGUCACUCCAGCACCUCUGUGUUCAGUGCAGGGGAACACACAGCUGGGAGUGAGACAUUAACCAGGUCUGGUAGAUCCAGCAAGCUAUCCUGGAGAGAGAGAGAUUACAGCUGGAGGCUGGUGCCUCUCCUGAACCUGUUUUGUCCAGUUGGAGAUCCUGUCCUUCCAGUCAGCCGGUAGACCCUCAGAACCAGACUACCUGUCUUCCACCACCAUCUCUUCUGGCAGCUUCGCCACCACUGACCCUGAACACACCUCCACCAAAAGUGUGUGUGUGUGUGACUUGUUUAUAAGCCUAAUCAAUUGAGUAUCUAUCCAGGCCAGUCAUGUCAGAAAUUCUAUGUGAUAAAUGAUAGUUGCAUUUAAAAUGGAGAAAUCUAAUCCUCUGUUUUAUUCCCCACCCCCAUAAGACUCUUCCCUGCUCUUGGCUGGGUUUAGAAGAGGGAAGAAAUCAUCGGUCAAUGGCUCCUCUUCAUGAAGACACAGUUCCUGUAGAGACGUAUCUGGUCCUGGGUCUCCCAUCUCAGACUCACUCCUACACAGCAGCAGUAUCCAGCGCAUCAUAGACAAAUACACCCGGGAGCUCAACCUCUCUCUCAGUUCUGCUGGGAACCAGAUGGGAGCUGAUGGGUCUAACUCCCUAGGCUGGGUGGAUCUGAGAGGCUCAGGCCAGACAGGAGUGUCAUCUGACCCAGAGGGAGCCCCUGAAGCCCAUUCAUUGAGCAGCUCCUUUCUCCCUGGACUGGAACUUCUGCCACACUACCAGUGCCUGCAACGCUCUGGCACCAGCUCCCAGGAAGCAGACAGGACUGGGGCCUCCGACUCCUUCCACCCCCUCCUGGCUGAAGUCACACACAACAAGACAGCUGAACCCUCCAUGACCUUUCACCUUCCAGAAGAGGAAGUGGAGGGGCUAUGUUCCCACGAAGAAGAAAGUGACCAUGAAGAACCUGCAGGGGACCUUGAACUCUCUGCAUGCUCAGUUGAGUUUGUGGACGACACUUGGUCUGUCACCUCUGACCCCCCCCCUCCUGAGUGCCUGAGAGGAGGGGAGGAACCACCUCAGCCCUCGCCCGCCCUGCACGACUCCUUGUACCAGCUGACCAUGUCCCAGUGCCUCCCUCAUAACUCUGCUCUGGAUGUAUCCCCAGGAGCAGAGGUGGGGGGGUCUGGCAGCAUGUUCCCUCUCUCUGUGAAGAUGUCCCCACUUUGGACAAGCCACUUGAAGGCGGGGACACUGAUAUGGAGAGCACACCAGCACCUCAGACAGUUGACCAAUGAGGUGCUAUUACCAUUAAGGACCUGGGUGCAGGAGAGCCGGAUGCCCAGCUAUGUUCAGAGUCAAAGAUCAGCCCUCCCAUCUGGGAGAGAAUAAUGGUGGGCAGUGUGAAGGGGAUAAUGGACGAUUCCAUGCUGACCCUGAUGAGCCUGACAGACACCACAUUAAAGGACCACGGACUCGCUGAGGAAGGAGAGAUGGAUGAGGUAUCAGACCAAUAAGGCAUUGUGGAAAAGGAAUCAGAGUGGACAGUGUUGCCAGAGGAGGACGCCAGCCUACAGGACAACCCCCUCUCAUGCAGUAAUGCUGCUGGAGUUCCAGUCGUGUCCCAGCGUGAAUCUACAGGAGGCCUUCCAGCAGAAACGCAGAGCCCUGAUCCAGAGGUCUGCCCGCAGGGUGGAGGAGAUUCAGGCCAAGACGUCUGAAGACAAAGCAAACACCAGGGCCCAGUCUGAAACCACUGAGACCAGGGCCAACACAACCACCAGGGCCCAGUCUGACCCAACCACUGUUCAGUCAUCCACUACUAAACCCAGGAGGGAGGGGAGGAGUGCAGAGUCAACCCAUGCAGGAGUGGAUUCCAAGCAGAAAAAGCAACAGCCAAAGCUCCAAACUCCCUUGCAGCCUCCCAUGCUAGCCAAGCUGAAGAAGGUUGGGGAGGUGAGGAUCAGCACUCCUGAGAUGAGGAUACAGGAUGUGGCUGACAUGCGCCAGAGAACAGAGAGGUUGUACAGCCGACUAGAUGAGGUAAAGCUUCAGGAGGAGGUCAGGAGCAGACAGGAGGCAUAUGCCAAAAACGGGAGAAGGCCAAAGAGUUUCACAAGAAGCUACGGGCCAAGCAGUCUCCGCAAUGAUACUGAAUAUCAGUUUUAUCUGUUGUCGUGUGUUCUGUGUUUGCACUUAUUUUGUACUUACAUGUGUUUUUGUACAGUUUAAUCAGUAAUGUAAAAUAUAUUUUACGAGUGUGUAUAUAAUCUGCGUUCAGUCUAUUCAUCACAAUUUACUGUGUUCACACAACAAAGGCAGCCAGUGCACUAUUGCACCUUGAAUGCUGGCGGUACACCCAUUGCAUUAUGAGAAUGUUAUGUUGCCUGUAAAAAUAUUUUAGUUUCAGGUUUUUAUAACCAAUAAAGUUGUUUGUUGCUGAUUUUGCCUAUCCUUAUAAGUUGUAUUAUGGGAGGCCACUUGACCUGAAAAGAUUGGAAAACGUCUAGUCUCAUAGACGUAAGCUAAUGUUAACGUUAGCUAGAAACUAACUUUAG
rnacentral:lncRNA from 1 species